GAUGAACGCUGGCGGCGUGCUUAACACAUGCAAGUCGAACGGAAAGGCUCCUGCUUGCAGGGGUACUCGAGUGGCGAACGGGUGAGUAACACGUGGGUGAUCUGCCCUGCACUUCGGGAUAAGCCUGGGAAACUGGGUCUAAUACCGGAUAGGACGAUGGUUUGGAUGCCAUUGUGGAAAGUUUUUCGGUGUGGGAUGAGCUCGCGGCCUAUCAGCUUGUUGGUGGGGUAAUGGCCUACCAAGGCGUCGACGGGUAGCCGGCCUGAGAGGGUGUACGGCCACAUUGGGACUGAGAUACGGCCCAGACUCCUACGGGAGGCAGCAGUGGGGAAUAUUGCACAAUGGGCGCAAGCCUGAUGCAGCGACGCCGCGUGGGGGAUGACGGCCUUCGGGUUGUAAACUCCUUUCGCUGGGGACGAAGCGCAAGUGACGGUACCUGGAGAAGAAGCACCGGCUAACUACGUGCCAGCAGCCGCGGUAAUACGUAGGGUGCGAGCGUUGUCCGGAAUUACUGGGCGUAAAGAGCUCGUAGGUGGUUUGUCGCGUCGUUUGUGUAAGCCCGCAGCUUAACUGCGGGACUGCAGGCGAUACGGGCAUAACUUGAGUGCUGUAGGGGAGACUGGAAUUCCUGGUGUAGCGGUGGAAUGCGCAGAUAUCAGGAGGAACACCGAUGGCGAAGGCAGGUCUCUGGGCAGUAACUGACGCUGAGGAGCGAAAGCAUGGGUAGCGAACAGGAUUAGAUACCCUGGUAGUCCAUGCCGUAAACGGUGGGCGCUAGGUGUGAGUCCCUUCCACGGGGUUCGUGCCGUAGCUAACGCAUUAAGCGCCCCGCCUGGGGAGUACGGCCGCAAGGCUAAAACUCAAAGGAAUUGACGGGGGCCCGCACAAGCGGCGGAGCAUGUGGAUUAAUUCGAUGCAACGCGAAGAACCUUACCUGGGCUUGACAUACACCAGACCGGGCCAGAGAUGGUCUUUCCCUUUGUGGUUGGUGUACAGGUGGUGCAUGGUUGUCGUCAGCUCGUGCCGUGAGAUGUUGGGUUAAGUCCCGCAACGAGCGCAACCCUUGUCUUAUGUUGCCAGCACGUUAUGGUGGGGACUCGUGAGAGACUGCCGGGGUUAACUCGGAGGAAGGUGGGGAUGACGUCAAAUCAUCAUGCCCCUUAUGUCCAGGGCUUCACACAUGCUACAAUGGUCGGUACAACGCGCCUGCGAGCCUGUGAGGGUGAGCUAAUCGCUGUAAAGCCGGUCGUAGUUCGGAUUGGGGUCUGCAACUCGACCCCAUGAAGUCGGAGCCGCUAGUAAUCGCAGAUCAGCAACGCUGCGGUGAAUACGUUCCCGGGCCU
rnacentral:rRNA from 1 species